rnacentral:lncRNA from 1 species
CAAUUUCAAUAUCAGAACGUCCAGUGCGUUACCAAUAUAUUGUGCAUCUCUACUAAGUAUCAGGAAAUUGAAUAGAUCUGCCUUGCAACUGCACAACAGUGUGCCAAAAAAAAAAGUAGUAGUUUAUUUCAUGCAAUUUUGACUUUAUAACUCACAGUUGCAAAUGUAAACUCACACUUGCGAAGAAAAAAAAUCUGAAUUAGUCACAAUUGCCUUUUUUAUUUUUUAUUCAGUGGUGGAAACAAGCUUCUAUACAUCUUUGACCGAUAACAGCAAUCACUGAUUGUAACAUUGAAACAUGAAUUUUCUGUCAACCUACUUUGAAACAAUAUGUGUUGUAAAAUGCGAUAUAUACAAAUAAACUUGAAUCUGUCCUUCUUUUGCUGUUGUUCUUUCUCUUUAAUCUCUAGUCUCAGUAGGUCAAUGCUAAACAUUAUGUAACAGACUGUGAUCCAUACAAAAGGUCACUCAAUAACAUUCACUCUCUUAAGCGUAAAGCCUGGACACACUGCCUGAGGUUUAUAUAGGAUGGAAUUGAAUGUUUUGUGUGUCAAGUGUGGCACCUCAUUUCCAAUAAAAUGUUUUUUCUUGUUUUACAGGGCUGGCCAAGCAUAAGACAUGAAAGAAUAGCAGAGAGGAGGAAUGAUGUGCAGAUGGAGGAGUGGAAUGAUGGCAGCUGCAGCAACAGGGCUGAAUAUCAUCACACUGCUCACCCAGCUGUCAUCUUUAUAACAGCACACACACAAAACAGAUUGUCCAGGAUUCCUAUUCUCCUCAUUCCUGUUCCUGAAAGCCUGCAGUCUGAAUCAUGUCUCCACACUCUCAGCUGAAACUGCGUCACUUCUCGCUUUUGUACGGACGUCACAAACACCAGUCAGCCCUCAGGUGCAAUGACAGUACAAUUACAGCCAUGCCUGCACAAUUACACUGUGUAUAAUGAACAAUAAACUGUCAAAACAGCAGUGUAACACUUUACUCGCACACAUACUUUAUGAUAACAUUGGCAGGAGGUUGCAGGAAGUCUUUCAGUGUAUUAGCACAAUUUUUUCUCCCCUUAAAGGGAUAGUUCACCCAAAUUUCGGAAAUCUAUCAUCAUUUUCUCACCCUCACUGACAAACCUGUAUGACCGAAUGACUUCUGCAGAACACAAAAGAAGUUUUUGGUGUAAAAAAAAAUAUAUAUAUUUUUGUAUUAAACUGUAUGAAUGUUUCUGGAAUAUUACCAUUUGAAGUGAAUAUUUUGAAAAGUAAGUAAAUAACUACAUUAUGUUUGCUAUGGCAAACCACAGAAAUCAACAUAGUUGGAAAUAUGAACUGCUUAAAUGGAAAUGAUGUCGGAUUUGCUGAUAAUUUAUUCUUCUGGCUCUGUUCCUUUCAAAACUUCAGUCGAACCUUUUCAUAAAUCAGUCAUUUAUCAAUGAAUCUGUCUGAAUACUCUUAACGACACACUUAAAGGGAUAGUUCACCCAAAAAUGAAAAUUACCCCAUGAUUUACUCUCUGUCAAGCCAUCCUAGGUGUAUAUGACUUUCUUCUCUCAGACGAAUCCAAUCGGAGUUAUAUAAAAUAAAAUGUCCUGGCUCUUCCAAGCAUUAUGAUGGCAGUGAGUGGGUUUUAUUUUUCAAUAGGCCAAAAGAAGUCCAAUAAAGUGCAUCCAUCCAUCAUAAAAAGUGCCCACACAGCUCCGGGGGGUUAAUAAAGGACUCCUAAAGCGAAUCAAUGCGUUUUUGUAAGAAAAAUAUCCAUAUUUAAAACUUUAUAAACAAUAAUCUCUAGCUUCCGCUAACUGUCAUACAUGCGUACACGAGAGUCUCAUUCCAGCGGAUGACGUAGGACAUAGGCAUAGUGACAGAUACAGCCAACGAUAACAUUUUGAAUAGAAUAAUUAACAAAGCUUGCAAGAGAGUGAAUAGUUAAUAAACUAAUUUAUAUAAGAGAUGAACAGAUAAGUUGUCUCUGCACAUUAAACUGCCAUAGGAGAAAAUAUCUUAAUAUUUAAACAAAAUCUUUAAUUUUCCCUCAUCUAUACAGAAUGCAAGGUAUCCAGUUUCACUUUAGGGGCAGAUGGGGUCAGAUUUCAUAUGCUCGAUGUUAUUGUUGUGUCAUGCUUGUAUGAGUUUGCUUUGGAUAAACAUGUUUUGAUGUAAAGGAGGCAUGUGUAUGAAGAAAAACAGCGUGACAGACAGUAAAUACAGGUGAACGGCUACAUGUCGUCUGUGUGAAAUGUGCCUCCUGUUCAACUGACGG